GGGGGGGUGGGCUACAUCCUGAGCGGCGCCGGGAAUUUCAUGGAGGAUUCGCGGCCCCACCUCGGCUCCGUCCCCCCCGGUUCCCUCCGCUUCUUCUUCGGGAGCCCCGCGAGCCCCGGGGGCUUCGCCCACCUGCGCCUGGAGCCCGGCGCUGCCACCGUCACCUUCCUGGAGGCCACCGGGCGCGUCCUGCACCGCGUGGUGCUGCCCCCCCGGCAGCUCUGAGCCCGGGGGGCGCGGGGACCCCUCCCCGGGGGACAUGGGGACACCGGGACCCUUCCCCUGGGGACAGCGGGACACCGGGACCCCUCCCCUGGGGACAUUAGGGACACCGGGACCCCUCCCUGGGGGACAGCGGGACAGCGGGACCCCUCCCAUGGGGACAUCGGGGACAUCGGGACCCCUCCCCUGGGGACAUUGGGGACACCGGGACCCCUCCCCUGGGGAUACCGGGACCCCUCCCAUGGGGACAGCGGGGACAUCGGGACCCCUCCCAUGGGGACAGCGGGGACAUUGGGGACAGCGGGACCCCUCCCCUGGGGACAUUGGGGACAUCGGGACCCCUCCCCGGGGGACAUUGGGGACACCGGGACCCCUCCCCUGGGGAUACCGGGACCCCUCCCAUGGGGACAGCGGGACACCGGGACCCCUCCCCGGGGGACAUUGGGGACAUUGGGGACACCGGGACCCCUCCCCUGGGGACACCGGGACCCCUCCCAUGGGGACAGCGGGGACAUCGGGACCCCUCCCCGGGGGACAGCGGGGACACUGGGACCCCUCCCCUGGGGACACCGGGACAUCGGGACCCCUCCCAUGGGGACAUCGGGACACCGGGACCCCUCCCCUGGGGACACCCCGUGACCCCUGACCCGGGGGGACAUUUGGGACAUUGACCCCUGACCUGGGGGCACCUGCGACCCCCGCCUGGGUUUCCCCCUUGACGAUGACCCCCAAUAAAGCCAUUGAACGGCGCCCCCGCCA
rnacentral:lncRNA from 1 species